rnacentral:rRNA from 1 species
UGGGGAAUAUUGCACAAUGGGCGCAAGCCUGAUGCAGCCAUGCCGCGUGUGUGAAGAAGGCCUUCGGUUGUAAAGCACUUUCAGCGAGGAGGAAGGUGGUGAGCUUAAUACGCUCAUCAAUUGACGUUACUCGCAGAAGAAGCACCGGCUAACUCCGUGCCAGCAGCCGCGGUAAUACGGAGGGUGCAAGCGUUAAUCGGAAUUACUGGGCGUAAAGCGCACGCAGGCGGUUUUGUUAAGUCAGAUGUGAAAUCCCCGGGCUCAACCUGGGAACUGCAUUUGAAACUGGCAAGCUAGAGUCUCGUAGAGGGGGGUAGAAUUCCAGGUGUAGCGGUGAAAUGCGUAGAGAUCUGGAGGAAUACCGGUGGCGAAGGCGGCCCCCUGGACGAAGACUGACGCUCAGGUGCGAAAGCGUGGGGAGCAAACAGAUUAGAUACCCUGGUAGUCCACGCUGUAAACGAUGUCGAUUUUGGAGGUUGUGCCCCUUGAGGCGUGGNUUCC